rnacentral:piRNA from 1 species
UGCUAUGCUCUGCCUCUGAGAGGCACACA